rnacentral:tRNA from 1 species
GCGAGAGUGGCGGAAUUGGCAGACGCGCCAGACUUAGGAUCUGGUGCCUUCCGGCGUGAGGGUUCGAGUCCCUCCUCUCGCA